rnacentral:rRNA from 1 species
AGAGUUUGAUCCUGGCUCAGAUUGAACGCUGGCGGAAUGCUUUACACAUGCAAGUCGAGCGGCAGCGCGGGGCAACCUGGCGGCGAGCGGCGAACGGGUGAGUAACAUAUCGGAACGUAUCCAUAAGUGGGGGACAACCUAGCGAAAGUUAGGCUAAUACCGCAUACGCUCGAGAGAGGAAAGUGGGGGAUCGCAAGACCUCACGCUUUAGGAGCGGCCGAUAUCAGAUUAGCUAGAUGGUGAGGUAAAGGCUUACCAUGGCGACGAUCUGUAGCUGGUCUGAGAGGAUGAUCAGCCACACUGGAACUGAGACACGGUCCAGACUCCUACGGGAGGCAGCAGUGGGGAAUUUUGGACAAUGGGGGCAACCCUGAUCCAGCCAUUCCGCGUGAGUGAAGAAGGCCUUCGGGUUGUAAAGCUCUUUUGUUCGGGACGAAACGGUUAAGGUUAAUAACCUUGACUACUGACGGUACCGGAAGAAUAAGCACCGGCUAACUACGUGCCAGCAGCCGCGGUAAU